UACGUAGGGGGCAAGCGUUGUCCGGAUUUAUUGGGCGUAAAGAGCGUGUAGGCGGCCAAGCAGGUCAGCUGUGAAAACUCGAGGCUCAACCUCGAGACGUCGGUUGAAACCGCUUGGCUAGAGUCCGGAAGAGGAGAGUGGAAUUCCCGGUGUAGCGGUGAAAUGCGCAGAUAUCGGGAAGAACACCCGUGGCGAAGGCGGGUCUCUGGGCAGUAACUGACGCUGAGGAGCGAAAGCGUGGGGAGCGAACAGG
rnacentral:rRNA from 1 species